rnacentral:rRNA from 1 species
GUCGCUAGUACCGAUUGAAUGGCUUAGUGAGACCUCCGGAUUGGCAGUUCAUUGGUGGCAACACCUCUUUACAGCCGAAAAGCUGGUCAAACUUGGUCAUUUAGAGGAACUAA